AGAGUUUGAUCCUGGCUCAGGAUGAACGCCGGCGGUGUGCCUAAUACAUGCAAGUCGUACGCACUGGCCCAACUGAUUGAUGGUGCUUGCACCUGAUUGACGAUGGAUCACCAGUGAGUGGCGGACGGGUGAGUAACACGUAGGUAACCUGCCUCGGAGCGGGGGAUAACAUUUGGAAACAGAUGCUAAUACCGCAUAACAACAAAGGCCACAUGGCUUUUGUUUGAAAGAUGGCUUUGGCUAUCACUCUGGGAUGGACCUGCGGUGCAUUAGCUAGUUGGUAAGGUAACGGCUUACCAAGGCAGUGAUGCAUAGCCGAGUUGAGAGACUGAUCGGCCACAAUGGAACUGAGACACGGUCCAUACUCCUACGGGAGGCAGCAGUAGGGAAUCUUCCACAAUGGGCGCAAGCCUGAUGGAGCAACACCGCGUGAGUGAAGAAGGGUUUCGGCUCGUAAAGCUCUGUUGUUGGAGAAGAACGUGCGUGAGAGUAACUGUUCACGCAGUGACGGUAUCCAACCAGAAAGUCACGGCUAACUACGUGCCAGCAGCCGCGGUAAUACGUAGGUGGCAAGCGUUAUCCGGAUUUAUUGGGCGUAAAGCGAGCGCAGGCGGUUGCUUAGGUCUGAUGUGAAAGCCUUCGGCUUAACCGAAGAAGUGCAUCGGAAACCGGGCGACUUGAGUGCAGAAGAGGACAGUGGAACUCCAUGUGUAGCGGUGGAAUGCGUAGAUAUAUGGAAGAACACCAGUGGCGAAGGCGGCUGUCUGGUCUGCAACUGACGCUGAGGCUCGAAAGCAUGGGUAGCGAACAGGAUUAGAUACCCUGGUAGUCCAUGCCGUAAACGAUGAGUGCUAGGUGUUGGAGGGUUCCCGCCCUUCAGUGCCGGAGCUAACGCAUUAAG
rnacentral:rRNA from 1 species